rnacentral:rRNA from 1 species
GAUGAACGCUGGCGGCGUGCCUAAUACAUGCAAGUCGAGCGAACAGACGAGGAGCUUGCUCCUCUGACGUUAGCGGCGGACGGGUGAGUAACACGUGGAUAACCUACCUAUAAGACUGGGAUAACUUCGGGAAACCGGAGCUAAUACCGGAUAAUAUAUUGAACCGCAUGGUUCAAUAGUGAAAGACGGUUUUGCUGUCACUUAUAGAUGGAUCCGCGCCGCAUCAGCUAGUUGGUAAGGUAACGGCUUACCAAGGCAACGAUGCGUAGCCGACCUGAGAGGGUGAUCGGCCACACUGGAACUGAAACACGGUCCAGACUCCUACGGGAGGCAGCAGUAGGGAAUCUUCCGCAAUGGGCGAAAGCCUGACGGAGCAACGCCGCGUGAGUGAUGAAGGUCUUCGGAUCGUAAAACUCUGUUAUUAGGGAAGAACAAAUGUGUAAGUAACUAUGCACGUCUUGACGGUACCUAAUCAGAAAGCCACGGCUAACUACGUG